rnacentral:rRNA from 1 species
UACGAAGGGGCUAGCGUUGCUCGGAAUCACUGGGCGUAAAGGGUGCGUAGGCGGGUCUUAAGUCAGGGGUGAAAUCCUGGAGCUCAACUCCAGAACUGCCUUUGAUACUGAAGAUCUUGAGUUCGGGAGAGGUGAGUGGAACUGCGAGUGUAGAGGUGAAAAUUCGUAGAUAUUCGCAAGAACACCAGUGGCGAAGGCGGCUCACUGGCCCGGUACUGACGCUGAGGCACGAAAGCGUGGGGAGCAAACAGG